CAACACCAACCUGCCAGGUUAACACAACCUGAAAAUGCCAUUUAUGGAUUAAAAAGGUUGGUUGUUUUUUUUACCGACCAGCACACCUGGCCCUUUUAUUAGCGCAGCACAAAAGUGGUUCUUUCUUAAUUGUUAACACAAAAAUAGAGAACAAAUAUCAACAGUAGACUGUGUACAUGAAAAUAAACCCCGAUCUUAGGUUAAGGAUUGCAUUGACCAAGAUCAGCUGAUGUUGGGCACAGGUUUGACCUUCCCACUAGUCCCAGCUGA